rnacentral:rRNA from 1 species
GACGAACGCUGGCGGCGUGCUUAACACAUGCAAGUCGAACGGAAAGGCCCUGCUUUUGUGGGGUGCUCGAGUGGCGAACGGGUGAGUAACACGUGAGUAACCUGCCCUUGACUUUGGGAUAACUUCAGGAAACUGGGGCUACUACCGGAUAGGAGCUCCUGCUGCAUGGUGGGGGUUGGAAAGUUUCGGCGGUUGGGGAUGGACUCGCGGCUUAUCAGCUUGUUGGUGGGGAAGUGGCUUACCAAGGCUUUGACGGGUAGCCGGCCUGAGAGGGUGACCGGCCACAUUGGGACUGAGAUACGGCCCAGACUCCUACGGGAGGCAGCAGUGGGGAAUAUUGCACAAUGGGCGGAAGCCUGAUGCAGCAACGCCGCGUGCGGGAUGACGGCCUUCGGGUUGUAAACCGCUUUCGCCUGUGACGAAGCGUGAGUGACGGUAAUGGGUAAAGAAGCACCGGCUAACUACGUG